GUUUGAAAUAUGACAGACAAAAGGAGAAAUAUCAUUGAAUCUUGACCCUUAUAAUUAAGUGAUGGCAUUGGAGCCAUGCAGAAGCAAUGCCCCACCUAUUGAGUAAUGAUGUUUAUUUAGGUGUGUUGAGCAUGUUUGUUACGACUGUCAUAUUGUCUCCGUUUUUUGUAUGACUGAAUCUCACAUGUACUUAAAUGGUGCUCAAUGUUCAGAAAUAUUGGAUAAAUGUAUAUAAUGAUUUAAAAUACCAGUAUUGAUCUUUCAAUCUUUAUAGGACCUAGAUUUGGAAACAGUCAUAUCAAUCCAAGUCCAGAGAAUUAUCCUGAUAGCUGGCCAGGAAAGUGAAAGACUAGAUUAAGGUGAUCUGACACACAGAUUUAGACACAUCGGUCAUUUGUCCAGUAGAACAGAUCAGGUGCUAAUGAUGUCUGCUGCAUAUUCAGCUGGGGCUCAUCAGAACUUUCUUUGGGGACUCUGUGACACCUGAGGUGACCAUAUUUCUCACCUGUCUGGAACUCAGAGGGAACUGAGAUCAACUUACCUGGGCUCUGUAUGUACAGAUUUACUGAGCAGUUUGCUGUGACAUUUUGGUAUUAUAUGAGACAAGAAGACCUAGGAUCAUAGACAAUUUAAAACAACUGGAUAGCUUGCUGGAUUUUUUGUGUCCCUAUUAUUGUAGCGGAAUCAG